GACGAACGCUGGCGGCGUGCUUAACACAUGCAAGUCGAACGGAAAGGCCCUGCUUUUGUGGGGUGCUCGAGUGGCGAACGGGUGAGUAACACGUGAGUAACCUGCCCUUGACUUUGGGAUAACUUCAGGAAACUGGGGCUAAUACCGGAUAGGAGCUCCUACUGCAUGGUGGGGGUUGGAAAGUUUCGGUGGUUGGGGAUGGACUCGCGGCUUAUCAGCUUGUUGGUGGGGUAGUGGCUUACCAAGGCUUUGACGGGUAGCCGGCCUGAGAGGGUGACCGGCCACAUUGGGACUGAGAUACGGCCCAGACUCCUACGGGAGGCAGCAGUGGGGAAUAUUGCACAAUGGGCGGAAGCCUGAUGCAGCAACGCCGCGUGCGGGAUGACGGCCUUCGGGUUGUAAACCGCUUUCGCCUGUGACGAAGCGUGAGUGACGGUAAUGGGUAAAGAAGCACCGGCUAACUACGUG
rnacentral:rRNA from 1 species